UUUUAAAAGAAAACUACUAUACAUCAGCCCUUGUAGCAUUGCACUCUUCACACACCUUACGUGGCAUCCCUUUUUUUUUUAAAAAAAAAAAAAAACCCAACACAUGUGUUUUGUAACUUUUGUUGGUUUGUAUUUCUCCGAUUCAAAUUUGCCUCGCGUUCUUGCCUAUCGAUCUCAGCCCGCAUCAAAACUCCUCCCUCGCCCGCGUCGAUUGUGCUUUGCCCACAGCCAUCGGCGACGCCAUCUCUUUCCAGCGACACCGAGGCAGUCUGCACAAGGCCGCCACACCCUUCGUUGCCUAGCUCUCCCCCUCCCCAUCGCUAGUCCAUCUCCUUUUCUUCCUCUCCCCACCCCCACUAGUGUACCGGAUUCACUAAACGCCCAACCCUCGUCACACAGCUCUCCUCCCUCCCCGUCGCCCUCAUUGUCCUAGGUGCGUGUGUGCGUUUCUCUCUCCUUGUUUUUCUUUUCUUUGCUAACUCUCUCAUCUUCCCUGUUUCAGAAUCGAUAUCAACGAAUCUACAUCUCGGCAGCCAGGUGAGUGGUUAUGAUGCCCUAGAGUCCCUCUGUUAUGAUUCUCUUAAAUUGAAUAUUGUAGUAAGGAAAUGUAAGGGAUGUAGUUUCUAUUAGUUUGAAUGUAGUAAGGGAAUGUUGUUAGAAUCUGUUCCUCUGCUACGGUAGUAAGAUCAAGAAAACAGGUAAGCAUAGCAAGUGUUUGAAGAAAAGCUCAAAUGAGCCACAACUCUAUUACAUUGGGUUCUUCGAUGUAGGUACACCGUACACCGUAUUAGGCCUGCAUGUGCUUUUUUCUUUCUAGACCACCCAGCUGGCCAGCUGCCAUCAAACGACGUCAUUGCUAACAAUUAUUUUCUUCUUUUUUU